CAAUAGCGUAUAUUAAAGUUGUUGCAGUUAAAAAGCUCGUAGUUGGAUUUGUGGUUCGUCCCGCCGGCUGGGUCAUUGACUUUUGCUGUGCUGGUCGUCCGUCCUUGGGUGGAAUCUGUGUGGCAUUAGGUUGUCGCGCAGGGGAUGCCCAUCGUUUACUGUGAAAAAAUUAGAGUGUUCAAAGCAGGCUUAUGCCGUUGAAUAUAUUAGCAUGGAAUAAUAAUAUAGGACCUUGGUACUAUUUUGUUGGUUUGCGCACUGAGGUAAUGAUUAAUAGGGACAGUUGGGGGUAUUCGUAUUCCAUUGUAAGAGGUGAAAUUCUUGGAUUUUUGGAAGACGAACUACUGCGAAAGCAUUUACCAAGGAUGUUUNCAUUAA
rnacentral:rRNA from 1 species